GGUCCGUUGGUGCAACUGGCAAGCACGUCCGGUCCGACCACCUGGAAGAUAUGGGUUCAAAUCCCAUGCGGGCCU